rnacentral:rRNA from 1 species
UUGGUGGCGACCGGCGCACGGGUGAGUAACGCGUAUGCAACCCCCUUAUGAGAGGGGAAUAACCCGGCGAAAGUCGGACUAACCCUUCAUAAAACAGGGACACCGCAUGGUGAUAUUUGUUAAAGAACUUCGCUGAUAGAUGGGCAUGCGUUCCAUUAGGUAGUUGGUGAGGUAACGGCUCACCAAGCCGACGAUGGAUAGGGGAACUGAGAGGUUGGUCCCCCACACUGGUACUGAGACACGGACCAGACUCCUACGGGAGGCAGCAGUGAGGAAUAUUGGUCAAUGGGCGAGAGCCUGAACCAGCCAAGUCGCGUGAAGGAAGAAGGAUCUAUGGUUCGUAAACUUCUUUUGCAGGGGAAUAAAGUGCAGGACGUGUCCUGUUUUGUAUGUACCCUGAGAAUAAGGAUCGGCUAACUCCGUGCCAGCAGCCGCGGUAAUACGGAGGAUCCGAGCGUUAUCCGGAUUUAUUGGGUUUAAAGGGUGCGUAGGUGGUUUGAUAAGUCAGCGGUGAAAGUUUGCAGCUUAACUGUAAAAAUGCCGUUGAAACUGUCGGACUUGAGUGUAAAUGAGGUAGGCGGAAUGCGUGGUGUAGCGGUGAAAUGCUUAGAUAUCACGAAGAACUCCGAUUG